GCUGGGAGGGGACUUACUGCCUCAUUGCCACUGGCAGGGGGAGGGUGGCAGGACCUGGGUCCUUGCCUCUAAGGAUUAGCUCUUCACUGAAUUUUUAGUAAGGCACUUCUUCAGACACUGUACCUGGGGGCACCGAGAAGAAUAUUCUCGUGGUGUAGAGCAGACCAGGUCUCUAUUUUCAGUGCAAAUCCACACUGCUUACCAAAAGAAUGGGGAGUGCUUACAGUUUAGAGGCACAUGUGGAACCACAGGUAUGGCAAAUAGAAAAAGGAAAGACCAGAAACUUUUGAGAAGGAAAGAAGAUACGCAUAGAACAGCUCCAAACAAGAGAAUUCCCAUCAGCAGGCAUGAAAGUCACACCCGGAUUUUCUCAUGGCUGAGACAAAAAUGAGAAAACGGACAGGUAACCAUUAAGUAAUUCCUUCUAUUUUACGUAGGGGGGUGGGGAUCGUGUCUACCCUUUGUUUACACUGUGCAUAAAGGCCAGUGGUGUCCAGCUGGAAAGUGGUAGAACGUAUAGUCAUGUACUUCACAUGGAUUGUUCCCCAGGGUCUACCGAUUGCCUCCUUAGUUCAGGGAAAGGCAAUAAAAAUCUACAGGACAAGCUCAGAUUCUUCCAUCCCGUUUAGGAUUCUUCCUCGCUUGUUCUUCCCUGACCUAGAAACUGAUCGUCUCUUCAGAGCUCCUCUCUAAAGCCACGCCCAAGCCAAAGCUGGGGACUUGGGGUACCAGCCGAAGACCAGGCUUUCACAUUCGUCAAAUCCCCUUCCUGCCUGGGACCAGCCUGCCUCCCUUCUCUGUGGCUGUCAGAGAUCGACCAGCACCAGGGGUCCGUCAGACCACAUGUCAUGGAGACAGCCUCUGACCUGGAAGGUUAUUUGCUCAUGAUUGUGUAACUGAUCUGUGGUUUGGAGCCUGCCGGGAAUCGGGGCUUUUUUGUUUGUUUGUUUUUUUGUUUUUCCUUUUUCUCAUUAACCAGGAAGGAUUGAAUGUCACUGUGGGGCCUGACCUGGAGAUGUUGGGAAGUGGAUUUUGCAAAGCGAUGCUGUCCUGUGACCCUGAGUGGCUGGUGAAGUGCUGGAAAGGUAGGAAGAGCUCCGGGCAAGGAGUUUGGGAAGGAGGGCUCCCCACCCCGGUAGCAGCCUGUGUGGGGGAGGAGACAGUGUCCCCAACUGUGGAACAGUGCUUUAUCCAGCCAAACACAGGGGUCGUGCUCUAAAGAAGUGGGAUGCAAGUAGCCAUUUAUUUGCUAAACCAAUGCCUUGGGCUAGGCUGGCCAGCGCCAACCCAAGGUCCAGCGUGCCCUGUCCUGCAAGACAGAGUGUUCGUGCCACUUCGUGCAGCUUUUCAGGGUAGUGACCAGCGGAACUGCCUGGAAUGCUUGACAAAAUCAUGGGAUCUCAGCUCCACUCUGGAUCCGGUGAAUCAAAGUUCCAGACAUCUGUCAUUUUCUCAAGAUCCCUAGGUGAUCUGCAUGAAACUCACUGGCCCAAGAAGUAUCACUACAGCGCUUUCUGCCUGUACCUCAACUUUGCACGGAGGCCUGGAGCCAGGAAGCCAGGGAUUCUCCAUUCCUUGCAGGCCCUUCAUGAAGUGACAGAUGUCCUGCUUAAUUGCAUAUUGUCAGAGUCCAAAUAAUCUCCUUCAGUGAUCGAUGCCCCACUAGUGAAAAGCAACUUCUGACCCCAAUCCUUCCCUAUGCAUUUCCAGGGUCUCACUUUCCAGGGUGUGACUUUAGGGCGUGGGUCUGGGCCUGGAACAUCUCUAGGGAGCUCAGAGAAGGCGAGGCACUGGGCAGGUGAGACUCUGAAUGGGGAAUUGUGUGCACAUGGAUUUGGGGGUAUUCAUACAUAUUUUUGUGCCUGUGCGAGUGUGUGAAUAUCAAAUAGAAGCCAACAGACCCAGUCCUUGAAAGACCCAGCAUCCAGCUGUUAGGGGGCUCCCCCCAGCCUGCGUCCAGGCCUCUCUCUGCAUACCCCUCACUGAGGAGCAUUGGCUCUGGGGGUUCCUAGGGCUCUGGUUGAGGCAUGUGGGUGCUUGGUCCCGGACAAAAACGGUCCACGAGUGGCCCUGAGCUAUGUGCUGGGACCCUUAGGACUCAGCAGAGAUUGUCUACAUGCUAAUAUGAUCCUCCUCCCCUGCCAGGUCUUGGAUCAUUUGUCACCACUAUCUCUCCACCUAAGUCCUUAUCUGACCACUGAAUCUAAGAUUGCCUCAACCCCCGUCACCAUUACAAUGCUCCCUUUUAUUUUCUUGUUAGCAAUCAUAGUCACUGAACUCACCUCAGCCAUGUACUUGUUCAAGUUAUAUCUGUGCAACAAAGCCAUUAGGAAGACUCUGGAUCCAGAUGGCCUGUAUUCAAACCCUGGCUCUACCACUCUGUGGCCGUGUGACCCUGGGCAAGUCACAUACAUGCUGUGCCUUUAAGUCCUCUUCUUGGUGAAACCGGGAUAAUAAUAGUAUCCAGCUCACAGGGUUGCUGUGAGGGAUAAAUGACCUGAUACAAGUAAGGCACUUUAGGGAGACCCUGGCCUGCAGUCAGCACCACGCAAACAUUUCUUCUUGCCGCCACUGUGACUGUCGCAAUACCGUAUCAUCCACCCCUGCAGUCCCAGGGCCUGCGGAAGGGCUGGAAACCGCGUACACAUUCAGUGGCUGUUGAAUGAACAAACGAAUGAACAAAUGAAUGACUGAAUCUCAGUCCUCCCUGCAAAUGUGUGGCCAGACUCCCUUCUCUGGAACUUGACUCAGCUCCAAGUUGAACCCAAGAGAGAAGCGGCCAGACUUAUUUUGGAACGUGGAUGUGGGCACGGCCUCCCUUGCCCAGUUUAGCGGCUUUGUGCUCCCCGGGCUGUGGCAUCACGCUGCCCUCUGCUGGCUGUCCCCAAGACGGGGCUAGCAAACCCGGAGAAAUGGAGAAAUCGUGUACUAAGUUCUGGGAGCGGGGGCCUCAUGAGCCUUUUGUCUGCAACUUCAGGACGCUCCUCCUUUCCUUCCCUCCCCUUUUGCCCUGGUUGCUACCCCCAUCUUGAAUGCCUUUCCUAAAUGCCGCUAACCCUUUAGGGCCAGAUCCAGAUGGAUCCAGAGGGCCAUACUCCCUCUGGGUAACCACAGGUGUCGGCAAGCCCUUAGUACUAGUGUAAUUCUCUAAUCCUUGUCUGUGUAUCUCAUUUCCAAACCUAACUGUGAGUUCUUCGAGGCAGGACCCGCGAGCCACCCCCACCCUCCUCCUUGUCUGCGUCUCAGAUCUCGGAGUCCAGGGCAAUUUCAGAAUCCCAUCAAGGACGAGACUGUACUGCUAGCCCUUUGGAGGCUGGGUUUGUGGACUUCUCACGGGGCUCCCUGUGGACUUUCUGGGUAUCUCUCUCCAGUCCAAUGAGAAUCAAGCAAAUGACAUAUUGGACAAAGGGCUAGUAUCCAAAAUCUAUAAAGAACUCACCAAACUCCACACCCGAAAAACAAACAAUCCAGUGAAGAAAUGGGCAGGGGAUGUGAAUAGACACUUCUAUUCAUGAAUAGACACUUCAUUCAAAGAAGACAUCCAGAUGGCCAACAGGCACAUGAAAAGAUGCUCAACGUCACUCCUCAUCAGGGAAAUACAAAUCAAAACCACCUCACGCCAGUCAGAGUGGCUAAAAUGAACAAAUCAGGAGACUAUAGAUGCUGGCAAGGAUGUGGAGAAACGGGAACCCUCUUGCACUGUUGGUGGGAAUGCAAACUGGUGCAGCCGCUCUGGAAAACUGUGGAGGUUCCUCAAAAAAUUAAAAAUAGAUCUAUCCUAUGACCCAGCAAUAGCACCGCUAGAAAUUUACCCAAGGGAUACAGGAGUGCUGAUGCAUAGGGGCACUUGUACCCCAAUGUUUAUAGCAGCACUUUCAACAAUAACCAAAUUAUGGAAAGAGCCUAAAUGUCCAUCAACUGACAAAUGGAUAAAGAAGAUGUGGUUUACAUAUAUAAAGGAAUACUACUUGGCAAUGAGAAAGAAUGAAAUAUGGCCUUUUGUAGCCACGUGGAUGGAACUGGAGAGUGUUAUGCUAAGUGAAAUAAGUCAGAGAGAGAAAGACAGAUACCAUAUGUUUUCACUCAUCUGUGGAUCCUGAGAAACUUCACAGAAGACCAUGGGGGAGGGGAAGGGGGGGGAAAAGUUACAGAGAGGGAGGGAGGCAAACCACAAGAGACUCUUAAAAACUGAGAACAAACUGAGGGUUGAUGGGGGGUGGGGGAGAGGGGCAAGUGGGUGAUGGGCAUUGAGGAGGGCACCUGUUGGGAUGAGCACUGGGAGUUGUAUGGAAACCAAUGUGACAAUAAAUUUCAUAUUAAAAAAUAAAAAACAAAAUAAACAAAAUAUUCCUUUCAUAAAAAAACAAAAGAAUCAAGCCCUGGGCUCUUUAUUGCCCCCCCCAUCCACUAUCAGCAGGGAGGUUUACUUGUGAUUUUGGUGGUGACCCCACAAAAUCAGGCUGAGGACCUGUAAGUCAGGAGGCUUGAGAAACUGCCUGGGGGGCCCCUUGGGCACCAGCAGAGCACCCCAGCACACAGCAAUGGGGGACCUCCUGCAGGUUUCAAACAGAGAAGACAGUGCCAUCCUGCUGCCUGUCAAUCUGUAUGGUAAUGCUGUUGUCCCAAAGCUGGAAGCCCAGCUGAUGGAGGCACCAGGAUCCUUGCAGAGGUCCCAGGAGGGGCCCUCGCUUGGCUCGCUGAUGGGGCUCAGGGGCAGACUUCUUGUGGGGCUCCCUCAGGGCCUGCAGAGCGCUGUUCUCUUAAGGCAAGAAUGGCAACCAUUAGCACGCAGGCUGCCCCUCUCCUCCCCCAUGUUGGUGGCAGACAAAACUAAUCGACUGCCUCCUCCUCGGCCUGGAUGAGACCCUGAAAGCCGUUUAGCCCUGCGGUUGUUACCAAGGGAUCUGAGACGGUGUGCGGAAAACGUCCACCCCUGCCUCGUGCUCCUGACACGUCCAGCUUCCUGCUCACAAUGUUUAUACUUUCCCAACAGCCUGGGAAUCACUUGAUGAGCUCCUCAAAAGUCUUGGGAUCGCGUCUUUGGAAAACUCACAUCUCUCUGGAUACCUGGUUUCUCUGCUCUUGUGUCGAAGGCAGAGGCAACUUGAAAAGUCCAGCACACCAUUCACCUUGGGUUGAGGACAUCCAGAAGGAGUUUUGAACUGAUAUCAAGCAAGAGUUUCUAAUCUCCGUGUGGCAAUUUGUGUGACACACAUUUCCCCACACUUGGGCACUCGAGAGACUGGGAAGAAGAGGAAGCUGGUGUGUAAAGGAGGACGAAGCAAGGAUGCAGAGAGAGGUAGAAGCCAAGGAGACAGCUCGAUGUUGCCUGCACUCCCCCCGCCCCCCUCCCCCAUCCUCCCUGGGCCAAUUCAGAGCUCUCUGUUCUUAGAAAAAAUACUUCUGGGGCGCCUGGGUGGCUCAGUCGGUUCAGCAUCCGACUUCGGCUCAGGUCAUGAUCUCAUGGUGUGUGGGUUCGAGCCCCACACCGGGCUCACUGCUGUCAGUGCAGAGCCUGCCUCAGAUCCUCUGUCCCCCUCCCCCGCUUGCACUCUCCCCCCAAAUAAAAUAAGCAUUUUUCAAAAAAAUAAACAAGAAAAAAAUGCUCCUC